rnacentral:rRNA from 1 species
GAUGAACGCUGGCGGCGUGCCUAAUACAUGCAAGUCGAGCGAACAGACGAGGAGCUUGCUCCUCUGACGUUAGCGGCGGACGGGUGAGUAACACGUGGAUAACCUACCUAUAAGACUGGGAUAACUUCGGGAAACCGGAGCUAAUACCGGAUAAUAUAUUGAACCGCAUGGUUCAAUAGUGAAAGACGGUUUUGCUGUCACUUAUAGAGGGAUCCGCGCCGCAUUAGCUAGUUGGUAAGGUAACGGCUUACCAAGGCAACGAUGCGUAGCCGACCUGAGAGGGUGAUCGGCCACACUGGAACUGAGACACGGUCCAGACUCCUACGAGAGGCAGCAGUAGGGAAUCUUCCGCAAUGGGCGAAAGCCUGACGGAGCAACGCCGCGUGAGUGAUGAAGGUCUUCGGAUCGUAAAACUCUGUUAUUAGGGAAGAACAAAUGUGUAAGUAACUAUGCACGUAUUGACGGUACCUAAUCAGAAAGCCACGGCUAACUACGUG